CUCCGGGUAGGCCACGCCCACACUCUUCCAGAUAGGCCACGCCUAUACACGGAAGCGAGCAGGAGGCGAGGCCUCAGAAGGAAGGGAGCGAAUUGGAGCUAUGUCACCUGACCGGGUCUUGAAGCUCGUACUAAUGCUGUGCUCUGAACAGUAUGUCAAAGCUCCAAUCGGACUGUCAAUGCUCACAGACCUCACCAGGAACCAACACAAGGCCUCAUGUGGUGCACUACCUCCAGCCUUGUCGUAAGAGCCUGAAAUUAAGCAUUUCACCUGAUAAAGGACACUGACACUACACCUAGUGUCCAUCCCCGAAGAACAGAGAACUGGCCAAUGAAGCCUGAAGCUGAGUAAGGAAGAGUAUUACUGCGGAGUAAAAGUAUCAAAGUGGAGCAGGUGGAGCACACCUGUGAUCCCACCACUUGGGAGGAUCAGGAGUGCAACGUCAUGCUUAACUACACAGAAAGUUCAAGACCAUCCAGAGCUACAUGAGACUAUCUAAAAAAUGCCAAAACCAAAAGUAAACAAAAAACAGUAGCAAUAGAAAUAAA